rnacentral:rRNA from 1 species
UACGGAAGGGGCAAGCGUUGUUCGGAUUCAUUGGGCGUAAAGGGUGCGUAGGUGGCGUGGUAAGUUCGGAUGUGAAUCCCGGGGCUCAACCCCGGAACUGCAUUCGAUACUGCCUUGCUAGAGUACUGGAGAGGAGAUUGGAAUUUACGGGUGUAGCAGUGAAAUGCGUAGAUAUCGUAAGGAAGACCAGUGGCGAAGGUCGGAUCGUCUGGACAGUUACUGACACUGAGGCACGAAGGCCAGGGGCAGCGAA